GCUGGGUGCAGUGGGGUGCACACCUGUAGUCCCAGCUACUCGGGAGGCAGAGGCAGGAGGAAUGCUUGAGCCCAAGAGUUUGAGACUAGCCUGGGCAACAUAGUGAGACCCAAGAUUCAG
rnacentral:sRNA from 1 species